rnacentral:lncRNA from 1 species
GUGGACUGCAUCAUUUCUCCUAGUCUAAUAUUCUAAGACUUGCAGGAUGAUAAUUUAGGUUGAGCUGGGUAAAGUCAGCUUCUACUAUAAUCUCUAAGAAGAUUCCAGUAACAUGUGGAGGAAUCAUGUGUGCAUUAUUGCUUCCUAAGAUGCCUGCACAUCAUUCCUGAAAAUUACAGGCUUUUUCAUCCAUCUGUAAGCAUGUACUAACUCUGAAAAAUGGAAGGGCAGAAGUCUACCAGUGUAGCUCUGAUUCUCUUUGCUACCCAAAGACAAAACUUCAAGGUUGCUUACCUUAGAAAAAAUCACCUGCCAUUCAUGAGGGAGUCCUGUAGAGAGGCAAGCCAGUGGCUGUGUAAGCAAGAAGGUCUCCCAGUUGUGCCUUCAGAUGAAACUGCAGUCAGAACCAGCAGUGACCCUGAGUGAAUGACCUCAUGAGUGACUCUGAGCCUUGAAUCCUCAGGUAAACUACAUCCAGACUCCACCCACAGAAUUAAUAUAUAUUUGUUACUUUAAAUUACUAAGUUUGUGGAAUAAUUUUUUAAACAUAGAAUUAGGUCAUUCAAACAGACAUUGUUACAAAGGACAGAACACUGGUCCUUUGACUAGGGAAACCAGAGGGGUAGCACUCACUUAAAACCUAUUAGUUAAAAAAAAAAAAAACCUAUUAGUUAUAACUUAGUUCUACUUAUGAGGGUUUAACAUUACCCUUUCACAUGUAUUCGUUCGUUUGGUUAAUCCAAG